rfam:Desulfobacter postgatei 2ac9 chromosome, whole genome shotgun sequence.
CUGAGGGUCGGGCAACCGCCUCUGACCGCAUGGGAGAAGUCAGCAGACGGCAUAGUAAUCGGUGGAAACGAGCUUCACAAAAGUGGAGAGGCCUCACCCCGAUGAAGGCC